UAGGAUGUGUGUGAUCCCGAAGAGUUUGC
rnacentral:piRNA from 1 species